CUCAAAAUGGCUACUUUCCACAGUCACACAGGCUUUUGAAAUGUAUAUAGACCCAAUUUCUCUGAAACUUUUCUGACACCUCCACUGUCUUCUUUUCCCCCAAAUUUUGGCAAAAUAGGCUGGAAAUCCAAGUUGGCUCUACCAAAAAUGUAAUAUUUGUGGGAUUGAAGAAGUACAGGGGAUAAGGAAGGUUUUGUAACAUGGAAUGGGGGGAUUUGAAGGGAGAGAGGGAAUAUGGCUGCUGGUGAGGUUAAAGAAGAGAGAUACCCCCUGCUGAGAGGCUAUCUUUGAAAAUUGGUUCUUGAGAAAUGGGUCACCUAUGAUAGCCUGAGGAAAUUUCUUCUCUAUUGAUGGAUGUUGAAGAUACCGCAGAGCAGGGGAUACUAGGAGGGGAAGUGGAAGGUCCCACCUAUUUACUUCCAGUCUUGAGCUUGGUGGUUGUAAGCACUGCUGUUCUUCUACAAAGUGAUCCUAUAGAGAUGUCCUCAAUUCUCUCCAAAAUCAAAGAAUGGCAAAUAAUAUUAAUAAAAAUAAUAUCAACAAAAGUUCAAGGACAUCUCUGCUUUGACAUCUUCUGGAAAUACCAAGGAACUUAUUGGAAUAGUCAAGAACAUACUGGAACAAUCAGGAACAUGCAUACAAGAUUUUUACAUGUGCAUGUAAGAUUGAAAUUUUCAUUGUGCAUGGAAGUAAGCUAUGAAUUUUUCAUGAGUGCUUAUCAGAAUUCAUUAGUUAUUCUUCAUGUGUGAAAGUAAGCAUUAUAUGUGAUCAUCUUCAUGAGUUGGUGCAUGCAUAAUAAGUUCUUAGAUUUUGUUAAAAUAUGAAUCUGAAGUUUUCCUCUUAUCUUUUGAAUGUUUGAAUUUUUCACAAGGAGAUUCAUUGUUUGAUGUCUUUAGUUAUGCCAUGGAGAUAUUAUUUUGAUAUAAUGUAGUUCAUUUGGUCAUGGAGUUAUGUUUUCACUUGAAAUAACUUUGUUACUUUCUUUGUUGUUACUAUUGUUGGUAGAGACUUUGUAUAGAUUAUGUAGAGACUUUACUUUGGAGCUAAUCUUUAAAAAUGCAUAUUUUCCUUUGUGUUACUAGAUUUCUUAUGAAGCUGUUUUAUUUGCUUUUGCAGAACUUUUCUGUUAUCAUUAACUCCAUAAACAUAAAAGGUAAUCCAUAAACCCCACCUGUUUACCAAAAACAUCACCUCUAGCAUUUUAUUUAGAUUUAUAUCCAAAGACUAUGAGAUUUUAAAUAAUUAUAUGUGUUUGCCCAUGUGUGCACACUGCAAAUAUUUAUCUAGAUUAUUAACAAAAUUUACCUAACUCAAAAAGAAUGCCCAAAAUCAGAUAAUAGUCAACUUCUAAACAUGUGAUAUUUACAUUUUUAUGUCUGCAUUUUAGAAAUCAUAAAAUCUUCAGAAGGCAAUCAAAAAUAAUAGUGUAAGAGCAAAAUACCAUUUAAAAUCAGUAUAAGAAAAAUGGGGUUGUUUUCAAUCUAAUCUCAAUCUAGG
rnacentral:lncRNA from 1 species